AACGCAAAUUGCGCCCGAGGCUUCGGCUGAGGGCAUGUCUGCCUCAGCGUCGGCUUACCCCCUCGUUCCCCAUCUCCCAGGAUGGUUAAGGAACGGAUCUGGCCCUCCCGGCUCCUUUUCUCACGAAAUGCCCGGGUUGGCUGAAGCGUAGAGGCUUGAGCAUGGACCCCGUUUGUAGGGCAGUGGCUUGGUAGGUGGCCUAGGCUACGCAACCUGCCGUUGUCCGAGGGGACUUUGCUGGCGGCCUAGCAGGAAUUCGGUGGGAGUCUCCUCCCCCGAAAGCUUUCUAACCUUUCGACCUGAGCUCAGGCAAGAUUACCCGCUGAACUUAA
rnacentral:misc_RNA from 1 species